UUGCCUUACAAAAAUAAUUUCAAUAAUACUGUAAUAAUUUUUAUGAAUAGAUUGUAUUUCGAGUGGUAUUAUCCAUGCCUUUAUUUUUUCAUUCAUGACACUCUUCAUAUUUUACAAAUUAACUAAGCAUUUGUUUCAACUUGAUGAUAAUUGUUAAUUUUGCCAACCAUUUCCUGUUAGUGUUUUCUGUUAAUUUAUUUCUUUAUAAUCAUUCUCAAUUAUAGUACAUAAAUUGCUUGAAUGCAUACUUUUAUAACUGCUUUUUAAGUGAAAUAUAAUAAAGCAGAACAAAUAGUUUAAAAAAGAUUUUAAAGAAAUUGAUAUAUUUAGCUGCUGAAAUUUAAAGAAGAGUGUUUUCAUGUUGAAAUCUAAAUAAUCUUGAUAUUAUGAUAUAAACUCAUUUUUUACCCUAAAAAUCUAGAGAAAUAACCAAACAGUUUUAAAUAUUAAAAUAAGAUGCAAAUUAUUACCUAGUUUUUAUUUAUUUAUUAUUUACUAAAAAGGGAAUAGGGUAUGACUGUGCUACAAAGACUGUAUGAAGAAAAAAAAACGAUGUAAAUAAAUUACUGAUAUGAACUAAUUUUAUUUUCAGUUCUGUUUAACAAGAACCUUCUUCAAUGUAACAUCAAAUGACAGUUAAAAAAAGAUAAAUGAGAUAAAACUUUUUUUUACAGUCAUUUGGUGGUGUUAAACACUGAGGAAGGUUCUUGUUUAGAACCAAAAUUAUAGAAUACCCAUUUGUGUGGUAAUCAAGUUUUUUUUUUUAUUGUUGCUUCUUAUUAUUCUUUGAAAACUAAUUCAUUAUGGAUGGUUGACUGAAUGUAAACAAUAACAAGCUUCCUAAAACCGAAAGAAAUUUACCAUAGUUUUACCGUUAAAAUUAAAACUGAAAGAACGCAUUAUAUUAUAAACACUACAGGUAUAGUCAUAUUUGGCUCCUUUUUUUAAGCUGAAGUGUAAAAAUCAAUCAAAAGUAGUAACCCGGAAAUCUUAUUACAAAUUUUAACCCCUAGCGCCAUCUGUGCUUAGCUCUACACAGUCGACCAACCAUGCAACUUCUCUAGGGACUACUUAUUAUAAAUCAAUAAAAAAGUUUCUAAUCAGCUAAUUUAUGGAGAGAAAAAAGGCAACAGAAUUUUCUUUAUAAUUAAAAAGAAAAAGUAUUAUUUUUGUGCCAUUAUUUAUUAACAAUUUUAUUGUUAUGAUUUUGUAUUCUUUGAGGUUAAACUAAAAUAUAUUUUGUUUUUGUAAAUAGUCUCGCUUCAUGCUACUUGUAUAUAUGUAUUUGAGGUUUUUAACACGCAUUUUUGUUUUUUAACUCUAGUUGACGCAUUGAAAGGUGAUAAAAGUCCAAGAAGAGCCAUCACAAAAUGUUUUCGACUUUUAGUAUGAUUUGUAAAGUUGGUGCGAUGAAAGUUUAAACUACAAAAAUCCUUUUUAGCAAUUUUGUGUGCAGGAUGUACUACUACACAAAAUAUUAAACUUUUUUUGUGGUGGUGCUUCUUGGCUUAUGUGGCAUACAUUGUAUUAUAACUUUUUAUCAGCUGUUAUUUUUCUCAUUUGUAAAAAUUAAACAUCUGUAGCUGUAGUUAACCUUUUAAAAUCCUUGCACAUAAUAUUUAUGACAUCUAUCAAGUGGUUUUGUAAUCACUCAUUCCUUUAGGCUGUGCGCAAAAAACUUAUUUGUUCCUCAAUGAAAUAGAUACCCCCACAAAAAUAAAUGUUACGUUUGUAGCUUGGAUAGCCUGGUUGGUAGGGCACUGGGCCGGCCCAUGUCCAAGAGGUCGUGGGUUUGAUCCCCGCUGGCCGAAGACUCUCCGUGUAGUAAAUGUUGACUGAGGCACAUUAAAUCUGUCCGGACACAAACUCCUCCAUAUUACCAUAACAAAUACCUUUAGGGGUACUGAUCCAGUAGUUUCCUUGUCUUCUGGAUUAGUUAAAAAUUACAAGGCUAUGGAGUUGGACAUUAGUAAUCAUAAACCCAAAAUUGGGUCAGCUGUUCAACGACUGUUAUAGAAAAAAUUUUGUGCUGAGGUUAAAUUUCAUUGCUGGAAUCGAAGUUGCUUACGCGCAGCCUUAAAUAGGGAUUUAGAUAGUUUAUUUGGAGGAACAUGUGAAGUAAUGUUUUGGUGAAUUUGAAGGGAAAAAAAUCACAUUAAAAAUGUGUUGAAAUAUCAGAACUCUGCUUACAAAACAUUUAUUUAUUUUUCAUUUUAAAACUGGCUGGUUUUAGCAUACAACCAUACCAUAGCCCCAAGGCGCCCACCAAUCAUUUAUUGUGUGCACAUGCUAUACAAUUACGAUAAAAAUAUUCAAAUUAUUAAUAAAUACUUUAUAAAAGUAUAAAUUUCAAACCUAAUUUCACUUUUCAGAAAAUAGUGUCCAUAGCCAGACUGGUAAGGUAUUCUAGAAUCUGCUGAGAUUUUUUUAAAAACAACUCUGACUUACAGAAUAAAUAUAUGUUCUGUAUAUGCCAUGUAAAAAAAAAUGUUUUUGAGUUUGUUGAAAUAUUUCCGUGGAGCCAUGUCUAAAAAUGUUCUACAUUUAAUUAUCAACACCUGCCUUCAUCUAUAAAAAUGUUUCAAAUUAACGUUCUAUGGCCAUGUAUAAAAAUGUUCUUAAAUUAUUGAUUGAUGGCCAUCUAUAGAAAUGUUCUUAAAUUAAUGUUCUGUAGCCAUCUAUAAAAAUAUUCUUAAAUUAAUAAUCUAGCCAUUCAUAAAACUGAGUGUUUCCAAAAUGCUACUUAACUUGUUCUUGCACUUAAGCUAUUCAUUUGUUAGCAAUUCGAUCUCGGUGAUAUUUGUGAAAGAAAUCUUAUUUGUUGAAAUUGAUCAAUUUUAUUAAACAAAUUAACAUUGUUAGUAUUUUAAAAUGUAUUGAAAGUGAUUGCAUUUCAAUUUUAAAUCCCACUUGACCAAAAAAGAAAUAUCUAUAUAUUUUAUUUAUAUGGUUGAAGAUUUAAGAAGGAAUUCAUGUUGGAGAUUUAUUUAUUAUAUUUUUCUAUUUUCUUUAUUUUGUGGCAAAAUAAUCAUUCUUGUGGCAAAACAUUACAAAUACUAUCUUUUAAUAUUAUAAUAAAUAAUUCUUACCUUUAAUAAACUAUUUAUUGGUAUCGUAAAAGAAAUUUGAAAGUGAAAUUAUGCAGACAUGUAUUUUGCAAAACUAAGCAAAUUAAUGAAAAUUUCCUUAUACUAUUUCUUGCUGCAAUAACUAUUUUUAAAAACGUCUAACAUAUUUUGAUUUUAAAAAAAUUAUAAUUUUAAUUUAAUAUUAUAAUCACAGUGAACCAUUAAAAGUAAACUAAAUAGCCCUGAUAUUUAUGUGAAUUUAUUAUUAUUAAAAUUUGUCUGUUUUGUUUAUAAUCUAAAUUUUAAAAAAAUUAAUUAAUCUUUAGAUAACUAUAUUAACAGGGUAUCUACAAUAUGACUAACUAGUACAACUGGAUUUUUUAAUUUUUUUUUUUGUUAGGGAGUUAUAUAUAUUUAAAAAGUUUGUUUCUUACAAAAAAAAAAAAGUUUGUUUCUUUAAAAGUUUGUUUCACUUAGAUUGUGGAGGUUAUUUAAAAUGUGAGUUUCCAUGAUAUAAUUUAAACGAUGUGAACUAAAGUUUUACCAAAUGAGCACAAUUUAAAGAAAAUUCCAUCGGUAACUUUUUGAAGUGCGCUUCUAAGUUUUAGAAACUAAGGAUGUUAUAUCCUUCUGUUUAUUUUAACAACAAGUCAACCAGCAUGCUAAAUGCCGGUUAAAAUAGGCUGCUAUUUUGUCAGGGCUACUGUUAUUUACUUUUUCUAAAAAAAUUUAAUAUAAAAAACUAUACAAGAUAACUGUAGUAAAUCAUGUAUUUUGUCUAUUUAAAUUAUCUUUUUUGUCUUAGCUUUUUACAAAAUGAAAUGAUACUAUUAUAAUUUAAUGUUUUGAAACAAGAUAAUUAUUUAGGUUUCUUAUUAUGCUAUAUUUCCUUUUUUCAAAAGUAUAUGGUACUUAGGAAACUAGCAAAAAUGUUAGAUUUUCUAUUUCAUUUAGUUUAUAUUUCCUUUUUUUCCCCUUCCUUUUAUGCCUUAUUUGCGAAUUAUUGCUUUUCUGACAAAAAAAAAAUUCUUAAAAUUAACUUGCUAGUUGAACAUUCUGUGGGUAGAGUCAUGGUUCCUGUUAGAUUCGAAAACUGAAACUAAUACAGAAACAGAUGUUAUAUGACCAUCUACAAAAAUAGUCUUAAAUUAAUGCGUGAGUCACGUUUCUGAUUGGUAAUGAUUUUUUUUUCAGAUUCGUGUUAUUACAAAUUGAUUGUAUUAAGUUUUUUUUUUCCUUUCAAUUAAUAUAAAGUUUCACAAAAAAUUUUCAUGUUUAAGAGCAUUUGACCUCCAGUAUAUUGUAAUUGCAAGACAUAGCUUUAAAGCCAUGUUCUACCUAUAUAUUUACUAUUAUUAUUGUGUCACUUAAAUUGCAUUUCCACCAAUGGUUGUAUUUUGACAUCAAUGAAACCUUUUUUCUCAUUGAAAUCUCUUUUAUCAACGUGAAUUCAUGUUAUUCUGUUAAUAAUUUUUUGUACAAAGAUGUUUUUAAACAAAAACUCACUUUGUAAAUACAAAUUAUUGUGAGUAUUUAUUUGAUUCACAAGCUUGGCUAUUUGACAAAAAUUUUACGCAUUGGAUGUUAAAUAAUAUUUGUGAAUAAAUAAAAGCAGUUAUGUAUAGUA
rnacentral:lncRNA from 1 species